CAGUCGCCGCGGUAAUACGGAGGGUGCAAGCGUUAAUCGGAAUUACUGGGCGUAAAGCGCACGCAGGCGGUCUGUCAAGUCAGAUGUGAAAUCCCCGGGCUUAACCUGGGAACUGCAUUUGAAACUGGCAGGCUAGAGUCUUGUAGAGGGGGGUAGAAUUCUAGGUGUAGCGGUGAAAUGCGUAGAGAUCUGGAGGAAUACCGGUGGCGAAGGCGGCCCCCUGGACAAAGACUGACGCUCAGGUGCGAAAGCGUGGGGAGCAAACAGGAUUAGAUACCCCGGUAGUCCCUGUCUCUUAUAC
rnacentral:rRNA from 1 species